rnacentral:rRNA from 1 species
GGCGAACGGGUGAGUAACGCGUGAGUAACCUGCCCUGGAGUGGGGGACAACAGUUGGAAACGACUGCUAAUACCGCAUAAGCCCACGGAUCCGCAUGGAUCUGCGGGAAAAGGAUUUAUUCGCUUCAGGAUGGACUCGCGUCCAAUUAGCUAGUUGGUGAGGUAACGGCCCACCAAGGCGACGAUUGGUAGCCGGACUGAGAGGUUGAACGGCCACAUUGGGACUGAGACACGGCCCAGACUCCUACGGGAGGCAGCAGUGGGGGAUAUUGCACAAUGGGGGAAACCCUGAUGCAGCGACGCCGCGUGGAGGAAGAAGGUUUUCGGAUUGUAAACUCCUGUCGUUAGGGACGAUAAUGACGGUACCUAACAAGAAAGCACCGGCUAACUACGUGCCAGCAGCCGCGGUAAAACGUAGGGUGCAAGCGUUGUCCGGAAUUACUGGGUGUAAAGGGAGCGCAGGCGGACCGGCAAGUUGGAAGUGAAAACUAUGGGCUCAACCCAUAAAUUGCUUUCAAAACUGCUGGCCUUGAGUAGUGCAGAGGUAGGUGGAUUCCCGGUGUAGCGGUGGAAUGCGUAGAUAUCGGGAGGAACACCAGUGGCGAAGGCGACCUACUGGGCACCAACUGACGCUGAGGCUCG